UUAGAGUUUUGAAUUGGCUCAGGAUGAACGCUGGCGGCGUGCCUAAUACAUGCAAGUCGAGCGAACUGAUUAGAAGCUUGCUUCUAUGACGUUAGCGGCGGACGGGUGAGUAACACGUGGGCAACCUGCCUGUAAGACUGGGAUAACUCCGGGAAACCGGAGCUAAUACCGGAUAACAUUUUUUCUUGCAUAAGAGAAAAUUGAAAGAUGGUUUCGGCUAUCACUUACAGAUGGGCCCGCGGUGCAUUAGCUAGUUGGUGAGGUAACGGCUCACCAAGGCAACGAUGCAUAGCCGACCUGAGAGGGUGAUCGGCCACACUGGGACUGAGACACGGCCCAGACUCCUACGGGAGGCAGCAGUAGGGAAUCUUCCGCAAUGGACGAAAGUCUGACGGAGCAACGCCGCGUGAGUGAUGAAGGCUUUCGGGUCGUAAAACUCUGUUGUUAGGGAAGAACAAGUACAAGAGUAACUGCUUGUACCUUGACGGUACCUAACCAGAAAGCCACGGCUAACUACGUGCCAGCAGCCGCGGUAAUACGUAGGUGGCAAGCGUUUCGGAAUUUGGGCGUAAAGCGCGCGCAGGCGGUUUCUUAAGUCUGAUGUGAAAGCCCACGGCUCAACCGUGGAGGGUCAUUGGAAACUGGGGAACUUGAGUGCAGAAGAGAAAAGCGGAAUUCCACGUGUAGCGGUGAAAUGCGUAGAGAUGUGGAGGAACACCAGUGGCGAAGGCGGCUUUUUGGUCUGUAACUGACGCUGAGCGGAAAACGCCGGGAGCAAACAGGAUUAGAUACCCUGGUAGUCCACGCCGUAAACGAUGAGUGCUAAGUGUUAGAGGGUUUCCGCCCUUUAGUGCUGCAGCUAACGCAUUAAGCACUCCGCCUGGGGAGUACGGUCGCAAGACUGAAACUCAAAGGAAUUGACGGGGGCCCGCACAAGCGGUGGAGCAUGUGGUUUAAUUCGAAGCAACGCGAAGAACCUUACCAGGUCUUGACAUCCUCUGACAACUCUAGAGAUAGAGCGUUCCCCUUCGGGGGACAGAGUGACAGGUGGUGCAUGGUUGUCGUCAGCUCGUGUCGUGAGAUGUUGGGUUAAGUCCCGCAACGAGCGCAACCCUUGAUCUUAGUUGCCAGCAUUAAGUUGGGCACUCUAAGGUGACUGCCGGUGACAAACCGGAGGAAGGUGGGGAUGACGUCAAAUCAUCAUGCCCCUUAUGACCUGGGCUACACACGUGCUACAAUGGAUGGUACAAAGGGCUGCAAGACCGCGAGGUCAAGCCAAUCCCAUAAAACCAUUCUCAGUUCGGAUUGUAGGCUGCAACUCGCCUACAUGAAGCUGGAAUCGCUAGUAAUCGCGGAUCAGCAUGCGCGGGUGAAUACGUUCCCGGGCCUUGUACACACCGCCCGUCACACCACGAGAGUUUGUAACACCCGAAGUCGGUGGGGUAACCUUUAUGGAGCCAGCCGCCUAAGGUGGGACAGAUGAUUGGGGUGAA
rnacentral:rRNA from 2 species